rnacentral:misc_RNA from 1 species
GAUGAAGAACGCAGCGAAAUGCGAUAAGUAGUGUGAAUUGCAGAAUUCAGUGAAUCAUCGAAUCUUUGAACGCACAUUGCGCCCUUUGGUAUUCCUUAGGGCAUGCCUGUUCGAGCGUCAUUUAAACCUUCAAGCUAAGCUUGGUGUUGGGUGACUGUCCGCUUCACGGCGGACUCGCCUCAAAAUUAUUGGCGGCCGGUACAUUGGCUUCGAGCGCAGCAGAAACGCGAACUCGGGCCCGUCGUAUUGGCUCCCAGAAGCUAUCUUCACAAUUUUGACCUCGGAUGAGGUAGGGAUACCCGCUGAACUUAAGCAUAUCAAUAAGCGGAGGA